rnacentral:rRNA from 1 species
AUGCUUCCUCCGGGACCCGUUCUCCGAAGCCGGAGCCACGCCGGCCAUCGAGGUCCCAUGCCGCUACAAACGACGCGCCAACCGUCCUCACGACGUCACCGCCAUCUGCAAUCCCAUACCUCGAAACCCGUGCUCUGUGUUGAAGAUCGUCGUCGCCAUGUUCCUAGGCGGUCCGUUCAACGCCGCACCAGCUCUCAACUUUGCAUGUUUCCUGCCGGGCACGCCGCAGCCGCUUUCAUGGUCACGUGCGGCCGGCACGUCCGCCGGGCAUUACCAUGA